UACGUAGGGGGCAAGCGUUGUCCGGGUUUAUUGGGCGUAAAGAGCGUGUAGGCGGCCAGGUAGGUCUGCUGUGAAAACUCGAGGCUUAACCUCGAGCUGUCGGCGGAAACCAUCUGGCUAGAGUCCGGAAGAGGAGAAUGGAAUUCCCGGUGUAGCGGUGAAAUGCGCAGAUAUCGGGAAGAACACCCGUGGCGAAGGCGGUUCUCUGGGACGGUACUGACGCUGAGACGCGAAAGCGUGGGGAGCGAACAGG
rnacentral:rRNA from 1 species